rnacentral:rRNA from 1 species
GAUGAACGCUGGCGGCGUGCCUAAUACAUGCAAGUCGAGCGAACAGACGAGGAGCUUGCUCCUCUGACGUUAGCGGCGGACGGGUGAGUAACACGUGGAUAACCUACCUAUAAGACUGGGAUAACUUCGGGAAACCGGAGCUAAUACCGGAUAAUAUAUUGAACCGCAUGGUUCAAUAGUGAAAGACGGUUUUGCUGUCACUUAUAGAUGGAUCCGCGCCGCAUUAGCUAGUUGGUAAGGUAACGGCUUACCAAGGCAACGAUGCGUAGCCGACCUGAGAGGGUGAUCGGCCACACUGGAACUGAGACACGGUCCAGACUCCUACGGGAGGCAGCAGUAGGGAAUCUUCCGCAAUGGGCGAAAGCUUGACGGAGCAACGCCGCGUGAGUGAUGCAGGUCUUCGGAUCGUAAAACUCUGUUAUUAGGGAAGAACAAAUGUGUAAGUAACUAUGCACGUCUUGACGGUACCUAAUCAGAAAGCCACGGCUAACUACGUG